rnacentral:rRNA from 1 species
CCUACGCGAGGCAGCAGUGAGGAAUAUUGGUCAAUGGACGAGAGUCUGAACCAGCCAAGUAGCGUGAAGGAUGACUGCCCUAUGGGUUGUAAACUUCUUUUAUAUGGGAGUAAAACAGGGUAUGCAUACCCUCUUGUAUGUACCAUAUGAAUAAGGAUCGGCUAACUCCGUGCCAGCAGCCGCGGUAAUACGGAGGAUCCGAGCGUUAUACGGAUUGGUUGGGGUUAAAGGGAGCGUAGGUGGAUUGUUAAGUCAGUUGUGAAAGUUUGCGGCUCAACCGUAAAAUUGCAGUUGAAACUGGCAGUCUUGAGUACAGUAGAGGUGGGCGGAAUGCGUGGUGUAGCGGUGAAAUGCUUAGAUAUCACGAAGAACUCAGAUUGCGAAGGCAGCUUACUAAACUGCCACUGACAUUGAUGCUCGAAAGUGUGGGUAUCAAACAGGAUUAGAUACCCUUGUAGUC